rnacentral:rRNA from 1 species
GAAUGCCUACAACAUAGCAUUAAUGUAGUGGAUCCCAUUAGAACUCCACAGUUAAGCAUGCUCAGGCUAGAGUAGUAUUGAGAUGGGUGACCACCUAGGAAGUCCUAGUGUUUUACAUGCC